ACACUGUAAAAAAUCAAAAAAAAAAAUUCAAUAAUAUAAAUUUGAACAGCAUAAAUAAACAAACAAAUUAUAUGUAUAAAAAGAAAAAAUCUAGUUUGCUCACUUAAGCAAUUUUGUUUCUACUUUCACUUAUGUUUCAUUUGUGUUAUGUAUAGGUACCUAUUAGAAAUUAAACUGCAAUUAAAGUUUUUGUAACUGUAUUGUGUCUUAUGUGAUGGCCAAAAUAAUUUAAUACUGUGUUAUUUACAGUCGUGGAAGAUGGAUGUUGUUGUACACUGUCAACAACAAAUGACAUUGAUGUUAACAUAUGUUUAAGUAGUAUAAAAAAAUAUUAUUAAACUAGAGAAACCCAAUAGUUUAUGGAUUAUUCUUGUCAAUGUAGAUAUUUGAUACUGAUGAGUGUAAAACAAUUUAUGUUGGAGGAACAUCAUGUACAGGACAUUUCUCAAGAAAAAAGUUGGUCCUAUCUUAGAAAAGAAAUGAAAAAUAAUUCAAAAAGCCUCACCUAAUGAAGCUGUUGAGAACGAUUAUAAUAAUAACAACUAUGAUAAAUGCAUGUUAAAAGUCAACAAUGUCAAUGACGUUGACAAAUCGUUAAAUUUACUUUUAAAAAAUAAACCCCAUGGCAUACAAAGUCAGUAGAACACAAUAUAGACCUGAUACAGGUGAAAUGGACAGUUGAAGAAGUAGAGAGUUUAAGUUCGAUUGGCAAAGCCCAAAUGUACUUACAUAGAUUCUAUCUAACUCAAAGAAAACUCACACAAUCCUAAAAAACCAUUCCACGUUGAUCUCUACCAGUCAUCAGUGUGUGGUGGUUUCAAUUUAUUGAUCAUGUAUUUUGUUCUACAACAGACUGAAGUUUCUGAUUCAUUAGUUUGGAAUCCUAUAAAUUGGGAAAUAUUAUGUCCAAUUCAUAAUUACUUCUAAGUUGCACUGUGUAUGUUCAGGCCAAAUCCUGAUCAAUUAGAUAUCCAAACGAUAAGUGAACAAGUGACCAAAUUCAAUAUAGUCAGAAAAACCAAAGAGAAUUAUAAAAAUGCAUAACUUCUAAGAAAACAAAGAGGAUAAAAAUGGAAAAAAAUCAAAUUAAAAGCAAUCUGCAACUCAUUUUGAUGAUAAUCAAAAAUUGUAAUCUUUGUAAUUUAAAAAAAAAAAAGGUGGGUAAGUGGAUGUCACUCUGCUGUACAGUAGGUUACAAGUGGGUCACUGUAAUGAAAGUCAGCCUAAAAAUGUUAAUUUUAAAUGUUUAUAAUCUUUUUCAUAAAGUAAUUUGAAAUAUUCUUAUUUAAUGCUAUAACAUUCUCUCUAGUAAAAUUUUUUUUCAGCAUCAGCCAUGGUGCAAUUCAAACAAAAACUUACUACAUGCCCAUCAUUGAAAACAGUUAACAUAAGCUUACUAGAAUAUGUUCCCAAGGAAGACUUUACAAAGAAACAAUUAUGUAUAAUAAUUGUGUAUAUUAUAUAAUAUUUGUUAAUCUCUGCAUGUUGGAAAAAUGAUUAAAUUAAAUUAAGUAAAAAUUGUAUAUAGUAUAAGAAUUUAUGUUACACAAGCUUAGCCUCAAGAGGUUUAUGUUACCUUUUAAUGUGUUACAAUUUUUAAUUAAUUUAAAUGCAAUGGAAUAAUUUAUAGAAUAAUAACAAACGAAUAUAUAAUUAACUCAAUGAUAUUGUUUUUUUAAUCUUUUUUAUUAUAACGUAUAUUACCUACAGAUUUUAAAAAUAAAAAAAAGUAUAAAUAGGGUAACAGUCAACUGUACAUUAAUUUUUCCUUAUUUUUUUAUAUUUUUUUAUAUGACACUUCUAUUAACUACUAGGAAUUUUUUACUUUUGACUCCCCAAAGUACCAACUAGAUGAUUACUGAAUGACACGUACAAUUAAAAUAUGAAUCAUAUAAUCGUAUUUUUAAAAAAAAAAGCAUUUAUACAUACA